CUCUUUCUCUCUCUCUGUGGCAGAGCUGAGAAAGAGGCAGGCAGGCACAGCCCUCUGAGCACAGUCAGUGGAUCGCCUAAGAGCUCACUAUUGAUCCGGGAGGGAGGGACAGUCAGUCAGAAACAUACAGACAGACUUGUUCUACUAAAGAGCUCCAACUCAUUACCUCAGCACCCCCACUAUACAGCCACAUCAGUAGCAUCACCUCUAUUUGUUGCUGUUUCAUGAGCACAAGGAUUUUACGAAUGGGGUUACUAUCCCCAUGCCCAACCCUUCACCAUUACUGCUUUCUGGGGGUGCCGUUCAGGAAUUGAACCCUGUGUCGCAAGAGUAAGCAGUGACUAUUACAUCACUGCUAUAAUAUAAUGCAACAUGUCACUGCACAUUGACAACACACAGAGGUAUUAACACUAAAUCCCAGAGGUAUUAACACUAAAUCCCAGAGGUAUUAACACUAAAGCCCAGAGGUAUUAACACUAAAGCCCAGAGGUAAUAACACUAAAGCCCAGAGGUAUUAACACUAAAGCCCAGAGGUAUUAACACUAAAGCCCAGAGGUAUUAACACUAAAGCCCAGAGGUAUUAACACUAAAU
rnacentral:lncRNA from 1 species